ACAUUUGAAGACGGUUUCACGCUCGGGUGCAUUCGCAUUUUGUGACUUAGAUAGCAGCCUAUAUAAUACCCUCACACCCUCCCGCCCUUUCUUCCUCCUCCUUCCUCCCAUCCACCCAAACAGUCCCCACGACAUCGACAACGAUUCAACCCGAGACUCGCCGGAAAAUGACGACGACGUACGGCACGAUUCCGACGUCAUCAGACCCAGGCGGCGCAAACCUAGACUACAUCGCACGCGCCAAGCAACAAAUAAAAGCCGGCCUCGGCACGCGACGACCGUGGCGGGAGAUGUUCAACCUCCGAUCCAUCGCCCUGCCGAGCGGCCCGAGCCGUUUCAAAGACGCACUCGCACGGAUCAAAACGAAUCUAGGCUACUUCCGCAUGAACUACGCCAUAAUCGUGCUCCUAAUCGUGUUUUUAAGCCUCUUGUGGCACCCGAUCUCUCUCAUCGUCUUUAUCGUCAUGAUGGCCGUGUGGCUGUUCCUGUACUUCCUCCGCGACGAGCCUCUGGUGGUCUUCAGGCGCACGAUCGGCGACCGGUGGGUCCUGAUCGUGCUGUCGGUGCUCACGAUUGUUUUCCUGCUGUUGACGCGCGCGACGGCGAACAUACUCGUGGCGCUGGCGAUUGGGGUGGUGGUCGUGGUGGUUCACGCGGCUUUUAGGAGGACUGAUGACUUGUUUUUGGACGAAGAGGCCGCCGGGAAAGCUGCUCUGUUCGCAGGUGUUGCUUCGUCGUCGUCGUAGCUCCGUGGCUCGAUCUAGGGUUUUCGUUUGGGGAAAAUCCAAAAGAGACCUGAUGUCAUAUGUGUUUCUAAAGGGGCUUGUGGAUGAUUACUGGGGAAGAGCAUGACGAAAUUCAUCUUCUCAAAAUUGGAAGUGAAUCCCAUCCCUUUCGCAGCUAUAUCUUUUGUCAAAUACAAGCUUGACCUUAACCGGACAUACAAACAAGGUGUGAUGGGCAUAGCAUGAGGGGCAGCAGGAGAUGGGCAAAGUGUUAUGCUCUUGAUGCCUUGACAGGAAACAAGAAGGAAAGACAAGCUGCUCUAAGUUUUCGUUGGGUUCCUUACCAUCCUGGAAAGUUCACGGUUCUCGCUCAGUGCUUGCAACAAAUGGAAAGGAAUAGACUAUGUCUUUCGAUUUUUCAGAAGUUCCCAAGAAAAGAGAGACCGCGUCUUUCAGUAUUGAACGCUUGUCGACAAUGUGCAAUGCAUUUUUAUUUGGAGAGAUGAAAUGCCCGUUGUCUCCACUCUCCAAAUAGUGGACUACUCCAUUCUCUAGCAGUGGCUAGACGAUGAUAUCUAGGUUUGUGGAGUCUAUAAGACUGUCGUGCUUUAUGAUCGAAAUUGGUCAUUUUAUCAAUUCAAGUGUCUAUAUCAUUUGUGAAGAAUUUAAUUUGAUCCAAUGAUCGUAUUCAAAUGCUUCGGUCACAAUUUUUAUGUACAAACUGUCAUAUAAUGGACUAUAGACAAGGCUCUUCCUUCUUGCUA